rnacentral:rRNA from 1 species
UACGGAGGGGCAAGCGUUGUUCGGAUUUACUGGGCGUAAAGGGUCCGUAGGUGGUUGUGUAAGUCUGGUGUGAAAUCUUCGCCGCUUAACGGGAAGAAGCCACUGGAAACUGCGCAACUUGAGUAUGGUAGAGGCAAGCGGAAUUCCUGGUGUAGCGGUGGAAUGUGUAGAUAUCAGGAAGAACAUCUGUGGCGAAGGCGGCUUGCUGGGCCAUCACUGACACUGAGGGACGAAAGCGUGGGGGAGCAAACGGG